UAGGGAAUAUUGCAAAAUGGGCGAAAGCCCGAUGCAGCAACGCCGCGUGGGCGAUGAAGGCCUUCGGGUCGUAAAGCCCUUUUUGAGGGGAUGAGGAAGGACAGUACCCUCAGACUAAGCCUCGGCUAACUACGUGCCAGCAGCCGCGGUAAAACGUAGGAGGCGAGCGUUAUCCGGAUUUACUGGGCGUAAAGCGCGUGCAGGCGGAUUGGAGAGUUGGAUGUGAAAGCUCCCGGCUUAACUGGGAGAGGUCGUUCAAUACUUCCAGUCUUGAGUGCAGUAGAGGGAAGUGGAAUUCCGGGUGUAGUGGUGAAAUGCGUAGAUAUCCGGAGGAACACCAGUGGCGAAAGCGGCUUCCUGGACUGUAACUGACGCUCAGACGCGAAAGCUAGGGUAGCAAACG
rnacentral:rRNA from 1 species